ensembl:lncRNA
AGCUGGAUGAAGUAAUCUGAGAUCACUGGGUGGCUUAAAAGGGGCUACGCAUCGAUAGUAGAAACAUUGAUCGGCAACCCUGUGAUUGGUCGGCGAAGAUGUCGAAGGAGCGCGCUCAGUAUUUUACGGCAGCAGAGCAAGAACUCUUGAUUGAGGGAUUUCAGGAGUUUCAGAGUUUAAUUAAAACGCAGGGGAACACUGCAAAGGCUGCAAAAGCAAGGAGAGAGGGCUGGCAGAAAGUUGCUGACAAAUUAAACUCGUAAGUGAUCCAUGAUAUUACAUUAUAUCAUGUGAUAUUAUAUUAUACCACAUUAUAUUAUAUUACAUCAUAUCCUCUUCCACAUUAGAGCCACAACAGGACCCACUAGAACAUGGGAAAAAGUAAAAGUGAAAUAUAAGAAUAUUCUACAGAAUGGUAAUAUUUAUCACUUAUAUUGCUUUUAGUCUCCUGAAAAGAGACCCUGAAAUAAUCUGUUUGUUUGUUUAUAACAGCAACCAAGAAAAGGGCAGAGCAAAUAAAGACAGGUGGUGGUCCUGCACCCCCUCGUCACACCCCGGCAGAGGAGCUGGCCCUAGGGUUGAAUGCCACCAGACCCAUUGUGGAGGGCAUCCCUGGGGGCGGCUCUUCCUUAGACCAGCAGCCGGGGUGCAGUAGUAGCAGCACCUACAUAACUGUCGUACAUGACACUCCGUCACUUAUACCUGUUCCCAUGCAAGGGGUGACUGCAGCAUGCACAGACAGUGAAGCAACCCUGUCAGAUGACUGUGGUGUGGAGGAAGUCCCUG